rnacentral:lncRNA from 1 species
AAAAAGUGGUAUUUUUAUAUGUUUCAUUUAUAAUGAAACAAUUAGAAUCAAAGGUGAUACUAUAAAACAAGUAAAGAUAUAGGUACAUUUAGAAUUAGGGGGAAAAGCUCCAGUUUUCCCACUGCAUUCCAGAGGUAAUGGAAACUUGAUUUCCCGUUUUAUCGCUGAUAAAGACUUUCUGAAUAGAAUUAUGUGAGCAACAUAAUCUCUUAACAUUUCAUUGGCAAGAAAAGCAGUGAGGAUUAAUCAGCUGCUAUUUGGUAGGGCUAGGAGGCUGAAAGAGCAGGGCCACAUUUGUGUUUGGAUAAAACCUUAAUAUGUCCUAAUUUGUUUAUGACAGCAACAGGCCUAAAGAUGUCUUUUGAAUUUUGUUUACAGAAAGUAUAUUCUGAGCUCAGCCUGGGAGACUGCAAAAUAAUCAGACGUUUAUGAAAAGUUUUUGAGAACCAGAGCUGAAUUCUGGUCAGUUCUCCCCUGUGGACCAUGCACCAGAACAAUCUUCUAAUUGAGUAUAGCCAUCAACUGGUGAAUAGACAUCCAUUUGCCAGUGGAACACACCAGCUGGACCUCACUAUAGAGAGCAAACAGGUAAGACAGGACUGUUUUGAAGUUAGGAUGGCUGUAGACAGUCUCUACAUAUGGUAUCUAUCAUCCAAAACUGCUAAAG